GCGGGCGUAGCUCAGUGGUAGAGCAUAACCUUGCCAAGGUUGGGGUCGCGAGUUCGAGUCUCGUCGCCCGCUCCA
rnacentral:tRNA from 2 species